rnacentral:rRNA from 1 species
AGCCGGAGGAACAGAAAUCAACCGAGAUUCCCAAAGUAGUGGCGAGCGAAAUGGGAACAGCCGGCAAGCUUUAGCCGUUGAGUUAGUGGAACGCUCUGGAAAGGGCGGCCGUAGUGGGUGAUAGCCCCGUACGCGAAAACUCGAUGGUGGAACUAGGCUUGCGACAAGUAGGGCGGGACACGUGAAAUCCUGUCUGAAGAUGGGGGGACCAUCCUCCAAGGCUAAAUACUCGUAAUCGACCGAUAGUGAACAAGUACCGUGAGGGAAAGGUUAAAAGAACCCCGGAAGGGGAGUGAAAUAGAUUCUGAAACCGCAUGCAUACAAACAGUGGGAGCCUGGGUAACCGGGUGACUGCGUACCUUUUGUAUAAUGGGUCAGCGACUUACGUUCUGUAGCAAGCUUAACCGUAUAGGGUAGGCGCAGCGAAAGCGAGUCCGAAUAGGGCGCUUGAGUUGCAGGGCGUAGACCCGAAACCGGAUGAUCUAGCCAUGGCCAGG